rnacentral:lncRNA from 1 species
AUCCAGUGUCAAAACUGUAUCUGCACUGAAAGGAGUGGAAAGCACUGGAUCCACUGUUACUAGUAAGACCACAUCAUCCAGUAUCAACAGUGUGUUGACAUUUACAGGAGUGAAGAGCACUGGAUCCACUAUUACCAGUAACACCACUUUAUCCAGUAUCAACAGUGUGUUUCCAGGAGUGAAGAGCAGUGGAUCCACUGUUACCAGUAACACCACUUCAUCCAGUGUCAACAAUGUAUCGACAUUUACAGGAGUGAAGAGCAGUGGAUCCACUGUUACCAGUAACACCAAUACAUCAAUUGUCAACACUUCGUCUGCACUGAAAGUAAUGGAAAGCACUGGAUCCACUGUUACUAGUAGGACCACUUUAUCCAGUAUCAACAGUGUGGUGACAUUUACAGGAGUGAAGAGCAGUGGCUCCACUGUUACCAGUAACACCACUACAUCCAGUGCCAACAAUGUGUCAACAUUCACAGAAGUAAAGCACAGUGUGACCAGUAACACCAGUAAGUAGAGAUGCAUAAUUAGAGCAUGCAUUAAUAAAGCCUGUCAUUCACAUAAAAAUUGC